GACGAACGCUGGCGGCGUGCCUAAUACAUGCAAGUAGAACGCUGAAGGAGGAGCUUGCUUCUCCGGAUGAGUUGCGAACGGGUGAGUAACGCGUAGGUAACCUGCCUGGUAGUGGGGGAUAACUAUUGGAAACGAUAGCUAAUACCGCAUAAUAGCAGUUGUUGCAUGACAACUGUUUGAAAGGUGCAAUUGCACCACUACCAGAUGGACCUGCGUUGUAUUAGCUAGUUGGUGGGGUAACGGCUCACCAAGGCGACGAUACAUAGCCGACCUGAGAGGGUGAUCGGCCACACUGGGACUGAGACACGGCCCAGACUCCUACGGGAGGCAGCAGUAGGGAAUCUUCGGCAAUGGACGGAAGUCUGACCGAGCAACGCCGCGUGAGUGAAGAAGGUUUUCGGAUCGUAAAGCUCUGUUGUAAGAGAAGAACGAGUGUGAGAGUGGAAAG
rnacentral:rRNA from 1 species